AAGAUGUUAGUAAAAUAUUACAAAGCCUUGUCAUGACUUAAUUGCUAGUUUAAACCUAACACAUCUUAU
rnacentral:tRNA from 1 species